CGAAGGGUGCAAGCGUUACUCGGAAUUACUGGGCGUAAAGCGUGCGUAGGUGGUUUGUUAAGUCUGAUGUGAAAGCCCUGGGCUCAACCUGGGAACGGCAUUGGAUACUGGCUUACUAGAGUGCGGUAGAGGGGUGUGGAAUUCCCGGUGUAGCAGUGAAAUGCGUAGAUAUCGGGAGGAACAUCUGUGGCGAAGGCGACACCCUGGACCAGCACUGACACUGAGGCACGAAAGCGUGGGGAGCAAACAGGAUUAGAUACCCUGGUAGUCCACGCCCUAAACGAUGCGAACUGGAUGUUGGGUGCAAUUUGGCACUCAGUAUUGAAGCUAACGCGUUAAGUUCGCCGCCUGGGAAGUACGGUCGCAAGACUG
rnacentral:rRNA from 1 species